AAUUCCUCAGCAGUUUACAAGGGGAAUUUAUUUAUCAGUUAUUAUCCAUGUACAGAUCAGACUGCCCUAUGGACAGAUCUAUGUAAGUAAGUUUAAAAAGAAAAACAACAAAAAAAACACAAAAAGCAUUUUAUUCCUUUAGUCAUAGACCAAGGUUUUGCAUAGUCACAUACCCAUUGUCAGGCUCCUUACUCAACACUUAUUUAAUGUAGUGGAGGCUAGUCACAAAGAGAAGUCUGGCUUCAGGUAAAAUACUUGAAAGGGUUUGGCUUGUGUGUAUAUAUUUUAUAUAUAUAGUACUUUUCUAUUCAGUAUUUAUUUGUUGGAUUUCAUACUUUUUUCCCUACAAUUCUAAUAAAACUUAUGAGACAAAUUUCUGCAAGUCCCUCACGCUGGUGUAUGUCCAGAGUAAUGGGAACAGGGAUAAGGCAAUCAACCCCUCAUGACAGCUCAAAGCAUGCUAUUGAGAUCUUCCAAGAAAGGUUUUCUUCCUCAUCCUCCAGUGCAGCUCUGCAGGCAGCACAGCAAGUCAUACCCAGGAAUCACUGAGCUAUCACUCGCCUCAAGUGACCAGAGUACUGGUCUGACCAACAGUCUCACAGCUCUCUAUGUUUUCACCAACCGAGUGGAACAACUCAGCUGCAGCACGGCACAGGACAAACCCACCCAGCUCACGUUAGGACAGCGACAACCCUGUCUGCAGAGGUGCAAGACUUACCCACCAACACCACCACGUCCCACCAUCACUGAACAGCGCAUCUUCAAGCCAAACUAAGCCAGUACUUUAAAUCUUUGCUUUAAAAAAGCAGAACACGCAAAUGCUUGCAUCAUAAGCCAGCUGAUACAUUCUCAGACCAACAUGUCUUCUGUUGAGCUUUUUACUUCGUAAGGAAGCUGCCACAGCAUUAAUUGCUCUGGAUUUCUUGAAACGCUUUCCUGCUCAUUACUCGCACUGCCUCUGAGCACGUUACCUCACCAGCUGCUGGAGGAAGCAUGCUAUGCCUUAUGAAGCAGAUGUACAGAUGUAGAGUGAAACUGCAUUUUACAUUCCAAAUGAUGAGGUUUAAGAACUGGUCCUUCUCAAUGCCAACCGAACAGCUGCAAAAUGCUGGUGGACAUGUUUUGGUUGAAUUUCGUUUCCCGUUUCUCUCCCUCCCCUCACCUUCUCCUAACCCAGAAUAUAAAAGUAAAAACAGCUUUACAAAGGAUGGUGCAAUGUAAAUAGACAUAUGUGCAAGUAGAGUGCAACAAAAGUCAAUGAGAAGAUACACUUAUUUCCAAAAAAAAAAAAAAAAAAAAAGAAAGAAAAAAAAGAGCUUGACAUGUUGGGAUACCCUGA
rnacentral:lncRNA from 1 species